rnacentral:rRNA from 1 species
GAUGAACGCUGGCGGCGUGCCUAAUACAUGCAAGUCGAGCGAACAGACGAGGAGCUUACUCCUCUGACGUUAGCGGCGGACGGGUGAGUAACACGUGGAUAACCUACCUAUAAGACUGGGAUAACUUCGGGAAACCGGAGCUAAUACCGGAUAACAUGUUGAACCGCAUGGUUCAAUAGUGAAAGACGGUCUUGCUGUCACUUAUAGAUGGAUCCGCGUCGCAUUAGCUAGUUGGUAAGGUAACGGCUUACCAAGGCAACGAUGCGUAGCCGACCUGAGAGGGUGAUCGGCCACACUGGAACUGAGACACGGUCCAGACUCCUACGGGAGGCAGCAGUAGGGAAUCUUCCGCAAUGGGCGAAAGCCUGACGGAGCAACGCCGCGUGAGUGAAGAAGGUCUUCGGAUCGUAAAACUCUGUUAUUAGGGAAGAACAAAUGUGUAAGUAACUAUGCACGUCUUGACGGUACCUAAUCAGAAAGCCACGGCUAACUACGUG